AUGCAGUAGACGAGUCCCAAAUAGGACGAAACGCGCGUCCUGAAU
rnacentral:hammerhead_ribozyme from 1 species